rnacentral:lncRNA from 1 species
CGAGGUUCCGCCUGGGCUCUGAGCUGCAGCCGGCGAGUGUUUUUUCCAGGGCAAAGCCCAGAGGGGCACGAGGACUCAAGGCUGAGUCACAGAUCUGGAACCUCCUGAGGCUUGUACCCUGGCCCCCACGUGGAGCCUUGCCUAAGCCUCCCUUCCACUCAGGACUGCCUACUAAGAAAGGAACCCAGUUUUGAAUCUAGGGAAAUUAUCUGCACUUGUAAAUCAGCUUCAGAACGACUUCUUAUUUUCCAAAGCAGCUGCCCUGAAUUCAGAAUAGGCAAAUUCCUAUUGUUUACCAUCUGAUAAGACUUCUUAAGAUGAGGAGUAGAGCCAAGUGCUGAGGAAGAGAGAAGAACCUGCAGUGGAAGAGUUAGGGGCUCUGUGUCUGUUAGCAUCCUAACCGAGAGAGAAGUCAUGCUGAUGAAGACAGGACUCUGUAGACAGCUAAACCAGGUGGGAUAGAGCAGGCUAACGUGGUUGAGUAGACAUGCCCAUAUUUUUUCCCUAAAAGAGUUUAAAGUGACUUCUCUUUUAAUUUUACAGGCCAAGUAAAAUGUUGCAGUCUUUGUAACGUUAGCUCUCAUCGCUAACUAAUAUUCUUUAACUUAUUAAAUACUUGGAUGCGUG